CGCGUAGGCGGCUUUGUAAGUCGGAUGUGAAAGCCCUGGGCUUAACCUGGGAAUUGCAUUCGAUACUGCAUGACUAGAGUAUGGUAGAGGGAAGUGGAAUUUCCGGUGUAGCGGUGAAAUGCGUAGAUAUCGGAAGGAACACCAGUGGCGAAGGCGACUUCCUGGGCCAAUACUGACGCUGAGGCGCGAAGGCGUGGGGAGCAAACAGGAUUAGAUACCCUGGUAGUC
rnacentral:rRNA from 1 species